rnacentral:lncRNA from 1 species
CACAAUGCUCUGCCUCACCAUAGACUCGUAACCAGGCCCUUUCUGCCAUCUGGAUCAUCUACUUUCUGCUUCUUGACCAAGACACACACAUGAGCAAACAGGCUAUUCUUCCAAGCCUGGGGAAUGUUAUCCUCUGCAUCAUAUCUGUGUUCACAGUGGAGGUUAACUCUUGUCUGACCACGUAUAUGCUACAAAGCGCAGAAGAGAAAGGACGGUGUGGAGGAAGCUGAACUUGAAAGAAGGCAGAGGAAAUGGAAGGCCUACAAGUGUGUCAGCGAUUCCCUCCGCUUCUGCUCGCUCAUUAUGACACGGCAGGAGGGGUUCUCACUGAGAUCACCCUGAAGAAUCCAGGUGAAGACAGGUAUUUAUUGUGAAAGAAUAUUUAUGUGUUUAUUGUGCAUCUGUGUCUGUGUGUGAAGACAUACAAUGAUGUACAUUUGAAGGUCAUGAAGUAGACAAUGAAUGUUUUGUGUUCUAGGCAGAAGCGGGGAAAUAUGCUUUAGAGAUUCUGAACAGAACCUGCUUCCAUUGUAACAAAGGUGCUGGGAUUAGAAGCAUGUACCACUACACCUGGCUGAAAUUUCCUCGAGGAGCAAAAGGAAACCUCUCUUAUUUGACUGCUCACGGAAGGAGCCUGGAGAAGAACCUAGGUCCUCGUAGUCUGCUCUGUACAGCUGAGGACGGUACCCAGGAAGGGAAACCGUUUCCAACUUGUCCUGAGUCCAGACCUGCUUUCUAAGCAAGCCCUGCCUGGCAAGGAAGUGCACACUGGAAUCAUUUGUUUACUUUGUAAACAGGUCAACCUAUUUGUCUAAAGAGACCCCAGUGGAAUAUUAAACUACUGUAAUCGAGAUACCCACCAAUUCAUGGAACCUCUAGUUCACUUUAAGACCGGAGUAUCCUGACCUUUGAUUAUGUGAUUAUGUUAAAGCCCUGGCACAGUCUUCCUCUUUAACCCUUUCGUCAUCUUCUGGAAGUGCAAAGAAAGGAUCAUUUGAGUCUACUUUCUGUCAAGGACAGAUACAAGUGUUCCUGCAACACAGAGCAUCAAGAUGUUGAUAGAGCCUUUUGGGGCACUCUCUUCACUGGUAUUCCUAGAUACCUGCAAAGGUGGAUUAACUUUUGCCCUUAUGGACGUGCAGAAGCCUUGGUUUUCUGCAACUAUGAAUCACCGGACAGAGAACACAGAUUUGCAUCUAUGUUGUUGUUGGUUUUUUUUUUUUUUGUAUGCUGAUUAACUCCCUCUGAAAUACCUUUGAAAGCAGAGCUCAAAGGCCAAAGAAGCUAAUUUUUAAAAUGACCAAAUGGAUCGUGCCCUUAGAGGUGUAUCUAUGGGACCGUGUUAGCAGUGGCAAGGGGAAGCUGCCACAGCUCACCCACUGGGGAAGUGGGGUAGCCACAGUAUUCAAAAACAAUUCUGAGAUCUUGA